UGGGGAAUAUUGGACAAUGGGCGCAAGCCUGAUCCAGCAAUGCCGCGUGUGUGAAGAAGGCCUUCGGGUUGUAAAGCACUUUUAUCAGGAGCGAAACGCUGUCGGCUAAUACCCGGCGGAACUGACGGUACCUGAGGAAUAAGCACCGGCUAACUUCGUGCCAGCAGCCGCGGUAAUACGAAGGGUGCAAGCGUUAAUCGGAAUUACUGGGCGUAAAGCGUGCGUAGGCGGUUUCUUAAGUCUGCUGUGAAAUCCCCGGGCUCAACCUGGGAAUGGCAGUGGAUACUGGGAGGCUAGAGUGUGUCAGAGGGUGGUGGAAUUCCCGGUGUAGCGGUGAAAUGCGUAGAGAUCGGGAGGAACAUCAGUGGCGAAGGCGGCCACCUGGGACAACACUGACGCUGAGGCACGAAAGCGUGGGGGAGCAAACAGGAUUAGAUACCCUGGUAGUCCACGCCCUAAACGAUGCGAACUGGAUGUUGGUCUCAACUCGGAGAUCAGUGUCGAAGCUAACGCGUUAAGUUCGCCGCCUGGGGAGUACGGUCGCAAGACUGAAACUUAAAUGAAUUGACGGGGUCAUAGCUGUUUCCUG
rnacentral:rRNA from 1 species